rnacentral:misc_RNA from 1 species
UCUCCGUUGGUGAACCAGCGGAGGGAUCAUUACCGAGUUUACAACUCCCAAACCCCUGUGAACAUACCUAUGUUGCUUCGGCGGGAUCGCCCCGGCGCCUUCGGGCCCGGACCCAGGCGCCCGCCGGAGGACCCAAACUCUUGUCUUCAUGAGAACCUUCUGAGUGAUACAAGCAAAUAAAUUAAAACUUUCAACAACGGAUCUCUUGGUUCUG